GUAGGGGGCAAGCGUUAUCCGGAUUUACUGGGUGUAAAGGGAGCGUAGACGGACUGGCAAGUCUGAUGUGAAAGGCGGGGGCUCAACCCCUGGACUGCAUUGGAAACUGUUAGUCUUGAGUGCCGGAGAGGUAAGCGGAAUUCCUAGUGUAGCGGUGAAAUGCGUAGAUAUUAGGAGGAACACCAGUGGCGAAGGCGGAUUGCUGGACGACAACUGACGCUGAGACACGAAAGCGUGGGGAGCAAACAGGAUUAGAUACCCUGGUAGUCCACGCUGUAAACGAUGAAUGCUAGGUGUAGGUGCGCAAGCAUCUGUGCCGGAGUAAACACAAUAAGCAUUCCACCUGGGGAGUACGGCCGCAAGGUUGAAACUCAAAGGA
rnacentral:rRNA from 1 species